rnacentral:rRNA from 1 species
GAUGAAUGCUGGCGGCGUGCCUAACACAUGCAAGUCGAGCGGCAGCGAGUUUUACACUGAAUUCUGGAAGCUUCUGAGUAGUACAGAAGAUUUAUUCAAGAGUUUUGUGUAAAAUGUCGGCGAGCGGCGGACGGCUGAGUAACGCGUAGGAAUUUGCCCCAAAGUGAGGAAUAACUGCCCGAAAGGGUAGCUAAUGCCGCAUAUGGUCUUCGGAUUAAAGCCUUCGGGCGCUUUGGGAGAAGCCUGCGUUGGAUUAGGUAGUUGGUAGGGUAAUGGCCUACCAAGCCGACGAUCCAUAGCUGGUCUGAGAGGAUGAUCGGCCAGACUGGAACUGAGACACGGUCCAGACUCCUACGGGAGGCAGCAGUGAGGAAUCUUCCACAAUGGGCGAAAGCCUGAUGGAGCAACGCCGCGUGAAGGAUGAAGGCCUUCGGGUUGUAAACUUCUUUUAUGAGUGAAGAAUAUGACGGUAACUCAUGAAUAAGCACCGGCUAACUACGUG